AAUAAUAUCAUUUUGGUAAGAUUCUUCCAGACAGUAUGAUUAGGAUGUUACAUAAAUCAAACUGUGCUAUAUACAGUAUGCAGAGAAGGAAAUUCCUUAGCUUGUCUAAAGUCUGAUAGUGUGAAGAAUUUGCUGACCUGCUCUCCAUGCCUGUCUGAGCACGAGUGAAGUGAAUCAGAGAGAGAUUGCAAGAUGGAGAAAGGAGGUACAGUUGGAGAGAGUGGAGGGGGCAGGAAAGACCAGACAGAGCUGCAUCUCCCAUGAAAACAACUGUGUACAUAAGAUAGAGUGAGUACAUAGAGUACAUAGAAGAGUGAGCUCUGAAAGAACUCUCACAUGGACCCCAGAAAGAGGAGUACUCAACGCCUGCUGCACAGAAGGCAUCAGCAGUUAAGUACUGGCUAGAAAAGCGGAGUCCAUCAAAGGAGAGGACCACAGUGGUAGCUGCCUGUUACAAGCUAUUGAGGCACUCCAGAGUGACGGCAUGUGAUCCCCCUGACACAAGAAACAGGCCCAGAUAACACACCGUUCAGACCGACAGCAGUUCUGGUU
rnacentral:lncRNA from 10 species